rnacentral:sRNA from 1 species
UGCGAAAACAGGCCCAUAGCCAAGGAUACAGGAUGUAUAUCGGCUUGCAGGAUGCAGGGUCUUGAUCAAGGAGGAAUCAAGGGAUUGGUUCAGGUGUAAGGAUACCCCAAGGGACUGAAGGGCGGCUUAGGCCGCCCAUCUUUUUU